CUAAGGGUCAGUGGUUGGGGAUUGGUUUAAGGAAAUGGAGUGGGGUGGAGUUAUAAGGGGAGUAUAAGUAGUGGCCAUUUUAGAUCUAGGGAUCACUUUAAUCUAAGUUGCACUUACCUGUUGUUGUGGCAGGAUUUGUGUGGCUUUUUCUUUUGUCUCCUCUGCAGGUUGUCAGCAAGAUGGAAGAUUGGCUGGAAGGAGUCCGGGCAGCAGUGCAGGAGAGGGGUGUCGAGUGGCUGAGGGAUCACCUUGGAG